GUUUUGUUUUACUCUUCCGGAGCUUAUCCAGGAGGGGGAGGUGGUGAUCUUCAUACUUGCCCCAAAAGUCUCCUACACUCUCCCUAUCUGAGAACAUACAAUGGCCAUUGCUAUGAGUUUAAGCUAGAUGGAGGUCUUAGCUGGGUCGAGGCUGAAAGCGCCUGCAGAAACCACGGAGGACACCUAGUAUCUGUCAACAGCCCCGAGGAACGGCAAUUCCUAUUGACGACCCUAUUUUCCAUGUGGUUCCAUGGAGAUUACGUAUUGAUUGGAUUAACCGAUUCCAAAAGAGAAGGAACAUUUGUUUGGUCCUCCGGUCAUUAAUCAGUGUUUAGAUUCUUAUUCUGUAACUUAGAUACAUGUAUUUAUUUUCGUAGAAUGGGUUUUGUUAAGUGCAAUAAGUUACUAGUAUGAAACUUAUGAACAAACUGGUGUUACACAAAAACUCAAUUAUUUAAGUAAUGUAAAAUGUACCUUUUUUUAUUAUUAUUUAUUGAUUUAUCCAGGGGAGACGACUUCUUUCAUGGACUGGGCAUAUGGACAACCAGACCAAUACAUCCAUGGAAAAAAACGUUUUCUUGUACCGAUACCACCGGUACCGAGAGAAGAGGAUUGUGUCGGUAUGCGGUUUAAGGACUGGGGUCAUUGGCACGAUGUUCCUUGUGAUAGACCAUUUAUCAGUCCUUACAUAUGUGAAUAUGCACCAACAACACACGUUCCUACCAAAACAACAUCAGUAACGAUGACGCCAUUAGCUAGCACCACCACACCAACACGACAUGCUGAGACAUCCGAAGAGUCCAUUGACCCGCCAAAAACAACAGUAGCUACGGUUCCCAGCACUGAGUGGGUAACGCUAGGAAAAAGAGGAAUGCUUUCUUACUGGCACCUGAUUUUGAAUAAACAUAACUAGUUAUAACUAGUAAUAUAAAACGGUUUUGUAUGCUAAUUAUGUAUUCUAAAAUAAACUAUUAUUUACUAUUUUC
rnacentral:misc_RNA from 1 species